AGUGAACGCUGGCGGUAGGCCUAACACAUGCAAGUCGAACGGCAGCACAGUAAGAGCUUGCUCUUACGGUUGGCGAGUGGCGGACGGGUGAGGAAUACAUCGGAAUCUACUUUUUCGUGGGGGAUAACGUAGGGAAACUUACGCUAAUACCGCAUACGACCUACGGGGGAAAGCAGGGGAUCUUCGGACCUUGCGCGAUUGAAUGAGCCGAUGUCGGAUUAGCUAGUUGGCGGGGUAAAGGCCCACCAAGGCGACGAUCCGUAGCUGGUCUGAGAGGAUGAUCAGCCACACUGGAACUGAGACACGGUCCAGACUCCUACGGGAGGCAGCAGUGGGGAAUAUUGGACAAUGGGCGCAAGCCUGAUCCAGCCAUACCGCGUGGGUGAAGAAGGCCUUCGGGUUGUAAAGCCCUUUUGUUGGGAAAGAAAAGCAGCAGGUUAAUACCCCGCUGUUCUGACGGUACCCAAAGAAUAAGCACCGGCUAACUUCGUG
rnacentral:rRNA from 1 species